rnacentral:rRNA from 1 species
GACGUAGGGCGCGAGCGUUGUCCGGAUUUAUUGGGCGUAAAGAGCUCGUAGGCGGCUUGUCGCGUCGACCGUGAAAAACUUGGGGGCUCAACCCCAAGCCUGCGGUCGAUACGGGCAGGCUCGAGUUCGGUAGGGGGAGACUGGAAUUCCUGGUGUAGCGGUGAAAUGCGCAGAUAUCAGGAGGAACACCGGUGGCGAAGGCGGGGUCUCUGGACAGUUCCUGACGCUGAGGCACGAAAGGCCCAGGGGGGAGCAAAACGGGGAUUAGAAAACCCCCCUGUAG